rnacentral:rRNA from 1 species
AUUCCAGCUCCAAUAGCGUAUAUUAAAGUUGUUGCGGUAAAAAAGCUCGUAGUUGGAUUUCUGUUGAGGACGACCGGUCCGUACCAUGUACGCGCAUCUGGUUCGGCCUCGGCAUCCUCUCGAUAGACGUUUCUGCGCUUGAUUGCGUGGAGCGGAUUUCGGGACUUUUACUUUGAGGAAAUUAGAGUGUUCACGGCAGGCUAUCGCCAGAAUACAUUAGCAUGGAAUAAUACUAUUGGAUCUCGGUUCUAUUUUGUUGGUUUCUAGACCCGGGGUAAUGAUUAAUAGGGACAAUUGGAGGCAUUUGUAUCAACACGUCAGAGGUGGAAUUCUUGGAUUGUGUUGCGACAAACUACUGCGAAAGCAUUUGCCAAGGAUGUUUUCAUUA